rnacentral:rRNA from 1 species
AUUGAACGCUGGCGGCGUGCCUAACACAUGCAAGUCGAGCGGUAACAGGUGUAGCAAUACAUGCUGACGAGCGGCGGACGGGUGAGUAACGCUUGGGAAUCUGCCUAUUAGUGGGGGACAACCCGGGGAAACUCGGGCUAAUACCGCAUACGCUCUACGGAGGAAAGCCGGGGACCGCAAGGCCUGGCGCUAAUAGAUGAGCCCAAGUCGGAUUAGCUAGUUGGUAGGGUAAUGGCCUACCAAGGCGACGAUCCGUAACUGGUCUGAGAGGACGACCAGUCACACCGGAACUGAGACACGGUCCGGACUCCUACGGGAGGCAGCAGUGGGGAAUAUUGGACAAUGGGCGAAAGCCUGAUCCAGCGACGCCGCGUGGGUGAAGAAGGCCUGCGGGUUGUAAAGCCCUUUCAGUGGGGAAGAAAAGCCUCGACCUAACACGUCGGGGUCCUGACGUAACCCAUAGAAGAAGCACCGGCUAACUCUGUGCCAGCCGCCGCAGUAAC